rnacentral:rRNA from 1 species
UUUCGCAAUGCCCGAAAGGGUGACGAAGCAACGCCGCGUGGGGGAAGAAGACCUUCGGGUUGUAAACCGCUGUCGGGAGUUAAGAAAUGUAAGGAUGUUAAUAGCAUCUUUGCUUGACUAAGGCUCCGGAGGAAGCCACGGCUAACUCUGUGCCAGCAGCCGCGGUAAUACAGAGGCGGCAAGCGUUGUUCGGAAUUAUUGGGCGUAAAGAGCACGUAGGCGGCUAUGUAAGUCGGUUGUGAAAGCCUUCCGCUCAACGGGAGAACAGCAUCCGAUACUGCAUGGCUUGAGUGCGGGAGGGGAGAGUGGAACUUCUGGUGGAGUGGUGAAAUGCGUAGAUAUCAGAAGGAACGCCGGCGGCGAAAGCGGCUCUCUGGCCCAUAACUGACGCUGAGUGUGCGAAAGCUAGGGGAGCAAACGGGAUUAGAUACCCCGGUAGUCCUAGCCGUAAACGAUGGGCACUAAGUAGAGGGGUUUUA